rnacentral:rRNA from 1 species
GCAAGUCGAGCGGACAGAUGGGAGCUUGCUCCCUGAUGUUAGCGGCGGACGGGUGAGUAACACGUGGGUAACCUGCCUGUAAGACUGGGAUAACUCCGGGAAACCGGGGCUAAUACCGGAUGCUUGAUUGAACCGCAUGGUUCAAUUAUAAAAGGUGGCUUUUAGCUACCACUUACAGAUGGACCCGCGGCGCAUUAGCUAGUUGGUGAGGUAACGGCUCACCAAGGCAACGAUGCGUAGCCGACCUGAGAGGGUGAUCGGCCACACUGGGACUGAGACACGGCCCAGACUCCUACGGGAGGCAGCAGUAGGGAAUCUUCCGCAAUGGACGAAAGUCUGACGGAGCAACGCCGCGUGAGUGAUGAAGGUUUUCGGAUCGUAAAACUCUGUUGUUAGGGAAGAACAAGUACCGUUCGAAUAGGGCGGUACCUUGACGGUACCUAACCAGAAAGCCACGGCUAACUACGUGCCAGCAGCCGCGGUAAUACGUAGGUGGCAAGCGUUGUCCGGAAUUAUUGGGCGUAAAGCGCGCGCAGGCGGUUUCUUAAGUCUGAUGUGAAAGCCCCCGGCUCAACCGGGGAGGGUCAUUGGAAACUGGGGAACUUGAGUGCAGAAGAGGAGAGUGGAAUUCCACGUGUAGCGGUGAAAUGCGUAGAGAUGUGGAGGAACACCAGUGGCGAAGGCGACUCUCUGGUCUGUAACUGACGCUGAGGCGCGAAAGCGUGGGGAGCGAACAGGAUUAGAUACCCUGGUAGUCCACGCCGUAAACGAUGAGUGCUAAGUGUUAGAGGGUUUCCGCCCUUUAGUGCUGCAGCAAACGCAUUAAGCACUCCGCCUGGGGAGUACGGUCGCAAGACUGAAACUCAAAGGAAUUGACGGGGGCCCGCACAAGCGGUGGAGCAUGUGGUUUAAUUCGAAGCAACGCGAAGAACCUUACCAGGUCUUGACAUCCUCUGACAACCCUAGAGAUAGGGCUUCCCCUUCGGGGGCAGAGUGACAGGUGGUGCAUGGUUGUCGUCAGCUCGUGUCGUGAGAUGUUGGGUUAAGUCCCGCAACGAGCGCAACCCUUGAUCUUAGUUGCCAGCAUUCAGUUGGGCACUCUAAGGUGACUGCCGGUGACAAACCGGAGGAAGGUGGGGAUGACGUCAAAUCAUCAUGCCCCUUAUGACCUGGGCUACACACGUGCUACAAUGGGCAGAACAAAGGGCAGCGAAGCCGCGAGGCUAAGCCAAUCCCACAAAUCUGUUCUCAGUUCGGAUCGCAGUCUGCAACUCGACUGCGUGAAGCUGGAAUCGCUAGUAAUCGCGGAUCAGC